UAAUACGGAGGGUGCUAACGUUGUUCGGAAUUACUGGGCAUAAAGCGCACGUAGGCGGUCUGCUAAGUCGGUUGUGAAAGCCCCCGGCUCAACCGGGGAAUUGCGUUCGAUACUGGCAGGCUCGAGGACGGUUGGGGUGAGUGGAACUCCAGGUGGAGCGGUGAAAUGCGUAGAUAUCUGGAGGAACACCGGUGGCGAAAGCGGCUCACUGGACCGUAACUGACGCUAAUGUGCGAAAGCUAGGGGAGCAAACGGGAUUAGAUACCCCGGUAGUCCUAGCCGUAAACGAUGGGCACUAGGUAAGGGGAAUGCCUAUGGUUUUCCUUGCCGGAGCAAAUGUGUUAAGUGCCCCGCCUGGGGAGUACGCUCGCAAGGGUA
rnacentral:rRNA from 1 species